CUGCACCCACCCUGCUGCCCGGGCAGUGUGAAACCGCAGGGCAGGACCCCUCCAGCCUGCACUGGGCGAGGAGAUCAAGGAGAAGGCAGGGGGUAGGCAGUGACCUGGACCAUCUGUCUCCGUUGCUGCAGCAAACUAUCUCAGUGACCUGUCAGAGGCGAACUGGCCAUGGAGGAGGAGGAGAAGGAACCAACCAAGAAGGAGGAGAAGGAACCAGCCACGGAGGAGGAGGAGAAGAAGGAACCAGCCACUGGGGAGGAGAAGGAACCAGCCACAGAGGAGGAUAAUGAGGAGGACUCAGCCACAGAGUAGGAGGAGAAUAAUGAUGAGGACCCAGCCACAGAGGAGGAUGUAAAUAUCCAGGAUAGACACCUUCGGCACCCAACUAAACUGUUUACAUCUUAAUUUUGCUUGUUAAAAUAAGUUACUCUAACUAAAAUGCAGUUGUUAAUUCAAAGAGGGUUUGUUUUUUGUUUGUUCAUUUGGUUUUUAGGUAUCAUCCUGUUUAAAAACGAACAAAUUUCCAAUGCCCGUCUGCCUUAUUGAUCAAUCUUGGUGGUAACUAAGUAUUAAGCAAUUAAUAAUUUUAACCCUUAGGUUUCCUGGACCUGCCCUAAACAGCAAUGUUUAGAGGUCUGUUUUAUGUAUUUAACUCUUUGUUCUCUGAUGUUCUGUUUUAUGUUUCAACACAAUUAUUCUGAAAUUGUUUUGUCUUUAUUUGUCCCUUAGUUAUGUUUUAGGUCAUGUGACUGUUGUGGGUUUUCAAUUUGCGGGGGUUAUUUUAUUUUUGUUGUUGCAACAAAAACAUUUUUUGCACAAAGGUAUAAAAAAGCUAAUUAAUAAAACAUUUUUUGUGGUCCCACACUAUUUCAAUAUUAUAAUUAGGCUAUAACCACUAUUGGUGUACCGUUACACUACACGAAUGAUAGUUCUUUUUUGCAAAUGUUAGUCAUAAAUACAGGUAUAUUUGUUUAUAAUUAAGUUAUGUAUUGAUGCAAUGUUUUUGGUUAAUCUUAAUUCAGGGUUUGUCAAGCAAUGUGGCAAGUUGUUUGGAACAAUCAGGUUAAAAUGUGUAAGUUCAUUAAAGGCGA